rnacentral:lncRNA from 1 species
ACGUACGAUAGCUAAUUUUUAACUCUUCAUGUUUUUCUGUUGGCAGGCAACGUGUUGGACCUUCCGGAGCUUCUCAGAAGACAGAGGGUUUUCUUUUGAGACAAAUCAACUCAAUCAAAGAAACCAACUCAAUCAAAGAAAGAUGGGUCUACAUACAACAAAACUGAACAAAAUCUGCAAGAAGAGUGAUUCAUACAUGGGCUAUUGAGGCAACAUGAAAUGGACAUUAAUUGACUAAGUAAAAAACAGAUUUCUUGAAGAAUUAAUAAAGAACUUUUGUUUUGGAAGUUCUCUAUUGUUUAAAAUUAGCCAGAUGUGGUGGCCUGCACCUACAGUCCCAGCUACUCAGGAGGCUGAGGUGGAAGGAUCACUUGAGCCCAAGAGGCGGAGGUUGCAGUGAGCUGAGACUGUG